CCCUUAGAUGUCCUGGGCUGCACGCGCGCUACACUGACGAACUCAACGAGCUUAUCACCUUGGCAGAGAUGUCUGGGUAAUCUUUUGAAAGUUCGUCGUGCUGGGGAUAGAUGAUUGUAAUUAUUCGUCUUGAACGAGGAAUUCCUAGUAAGUGUGAGUCAUCAGCUCGCGCUGAUUACGUCCCUGCCCUUUGUACACACCGCCCGUCGCUCCUACCGAUUGAAUGGUCCGGUGAGGUUCUCGGAUUUUUUCUGUUGUUUGGUUCGCUAAACGAUUGAAGAGAGAAGUUACCCAAACCUUACCAUUUAGAGGAAGGAGAAGUCGUAAC
rnacentral:rRNA from 1 species